rnacentral:rRNA from 1 species
CACGUAGGCGGAAAAUUAAGUCAGUAGUGAAAUCCUGCAGCUUAACUGUAGAACUGUUAUUGAUACUGGUUUUCUUGAAUAUAGUUGAGGUAGGCGGAAUGUGUAAUGUAGCGGUGAAAUGCUUAGAUAUUACACAGAACACCGAUUGCGAAGGCAGCUUACUAAGCUAUGAUUGACGCUGAGGUACGAAAGCGUGGGGAGCGAACAGGAUUAGAUACCCUGGUAGUCC